rnacentral:lncRNA from 1 species
UGAAUCACAAGCGAGCCGACUCCGCCAGCGCCACCCAAAACAAGAACCGAUUUACCCGCGGAAAAUCCAGCUCUUUCGAGGCCUUCGUAUGCCGUCUCGAUGGCCAAAGGAAGACUAGCAGCCUGCGCAAAGUCCAGAUUCUUAGGUUUUACAGCCAGCAGCUUCUCCUCGACUGCGGUGUACUCCGCCAGCGAUCCGAAUUGCUUCAGAUUCUCCAACGCCUUCUCGUUUAUGUCCCCAUAUACUUCGUCCCCUUCUUUUAGGUUCUUGACUUGGCUACCAACCUUCACCACGAUGCCGGCCACAUCGUAACCUGGUACCGUCUACCAAUCAAGAGAACAUAGAAUAAAUUGCACAGUUUGGUGAAUAUAUCUGAAUAUUUAGAGAUUAAUAAGUUGACUACAGGAAAUAUAAAAGGGUAAAAUGCGAAAAUCAUCAAUAUACUCAAUUACUUAUAUUGCAAUUUUAGUCCCGGAACUUUUCACUUAAAGACUGCAGUCCAUGAACUUUUCCAAAUAUUGUAAUUUCAUUAAGACUCACAACUAGGGGAUGACCAUCCAGGUCAUUGUUCACGAGCUAGCUCAUGUUCGGCUCGAAAGGAGCUCGAGAUCGAAUAGCUCAUUUAGUAAACGAGCCGAACACAAGUUGGGGUCAGCUCGUUCGUGUUCGGCUCGAUAACAGCUCGAAUAUGUAUAUUUUAUAUUUAUGUAAUUUAUACAUUUUAUAUUUAUAUUUAUAUAAAUAAAUAUAAAUAAAUAAUUAUAUAUAUAAUAUAGGUUUUUAUUAUUUGAUUUUUAACUCAACCUAAAUAUAAAAUCCAACUCAAUUAUAAAAAUGCCAAUAUAUAUGUAAAAUCUCAACUAUUAGAUCAAAAUUUAAUAGAAAAGAUCUCAUAAAUUUAUUUUUUCUAUAUAUUCUUUCUAACCCGUUUAACUUGUUGUUCGUGGGCUGUUUCGUGGGCUAGCUCCCACACGAGCUCAAAAUUUUUAUACUUUAACGAGCCAACUCGUGUUCGGCUCGUUUCAUAUGAGCUAGCCCCAGCUCGCUCGUAUUCCCGGGCUCGCUAGUGUUUGGCUCAGUGACACCCCUACUCGCAACUACGUAAAAAACUUAGCCUUUUACUACAAAACAACAAGUUCAACCAUUAGGUAAAAUGAAUUUUUUCUUUUGGUACACUCAAAAUAGGGUCCAAAAGAUAAUUUUACAACGAAAGCUUUAUUUUAUUUCAUUUUUUUUUUCUUUUGCAUGGACAGGGAUGGAAUCACAGUACAUAUGAGAAAAGUAAUCAGGCCAAGUUGUAGUAUCGGAAUAGUACAGGAACCUAUAAUUCAUUUUCACCCUAAAUAGUUUGAUACUGUUAUCUUCUCCAUAAUUACACAAACCUAUAAAUUUACUGCUCUACAAGCGUACCAAAAAAAAAAAUGAAUAAUACAAUGUAUUCUUUGUAAAAAUUUCAAAUUAUCUAAAGCAUCGACAAAACUAAGAGGGAAAAAAAAAAAAAAAAAGGAAAUAUAUCGACGCACCGGUAAGGGCGAAUCCGUGGCCUUAAAUUUGCCCUGCCUCCGCUUAAAAUCGACGGGGUUGAGCGCGGCGGCGGAAACCCUAACGAGGACCUGAUCGUCCCCGACCUCGGGAACGGCGACCCCGUCCUCGAGGCGCAAAACCCCCGCGUCCCCGUACUCGUCGUAGAUCCACGCCCUCAUCUUCUCCGGGACCUCCGACGGGGCCACGACAACGGCGUCGGCCGAAGCCGCCGCCGACAUCGAGCUCGCAAAGACCCUAGUAGAGGGAGAAGCGACUCCGCCGCCGCCGCCGCCGCCGCCGCCGCGUCGUCCUCGGAGGCUACGAGGGCGAAGGAGAGGGGGAACGAGGUAGGGUUUUGAGGGGGAGGCGGAGGAGGAGGAGGAGGAGGAGGGAGGAGGUACGAUGGAGAGUGUGGGGCAUGGUGCGGUGGUAUUAAUAAUGGCGAUUUAAGCGUCGUCGCUUUCCCGGGGGUUGUUGGGGGAGGACACGUGGAGCGGAGGCAUUGGAGGGGAGAGAGAAAGAGCGAGUGCGGAUACGGUCACCGAAAGUAAGAGUAAGGGACUCUCUCACCGCUUUGGUUCAAUGAAUGGGACUGUGUUUUCGUUUAUUGAUUGAUAAUAAUGACUAGGUUCAAUGAAUAUUGGAUAAGUUUUAAAUAACACUCUGUAGUUUUUCACUUUCUCACUUUUUUUAUUUUAUGGUGUAAAAUAUAUCAAUUUAGUAUUCUAUAUUUUAUUUUAUUUUUUUCUUCGUUAACUUUUUAUUAAAUUAAAUACAAAAAACUUUAAAUACCCCACCGCAGCUUAUAGAAUAUUUACUUUAGUAUUCUUUAGUUUUAACUUUGUCACUGAUUUAACGAAAAAAAAUUAGUGAAAGGAAUAACAAAAAAAAAAAAAUAUCAAAGGGUGCAAAAAUGAUACACUUUAAACCACACAUGUACUCAAAUAAAAAAGUACAAAACAACAUGAUAGUAUUUGAAGUUUUUAUAUGAAUAUUUAUCAACCACCUAUAGUUCAAAAAAUUAUACUUAGAUAUUUUAUAAUUUUAUUUUUUUAUUUUAAUAAAAAUAAUAUUUUAGGAUAAUAGUACUUUUAACGCUACAUCUAUAUUGCAGGAUAGUUAAAUAUAAUUUUGCAAACUACGAGGCGAUAAAAUAAACAUAAUAUACUGCAAAAGGGCAAAUUGAAGUUUACUCUUAUUUUUAUUACUCUUAAAGAAUGGUUGCAUUUUCAAUAUAUCACUUGUUAUACUUAACCUCCAAAAUUAAAAAUAUAGAUACUUUAACUCCCUUGGAAAUUAAAAAUAUGUAAGAGGAUUAUGAUGCUAAAAUCUAUUUAUAAUCUAUAAUCUAUAAUUCGAUAUUAAUAUCUAAAAAUUUUCCACGUGACAGCCUCAUCAUCGUUAACGUAUGUGGGCUCCACAUACUAGUAUUAUCUCCCUUAAACUAACAUUUCAAUUUCCUUUAGUCGCUACUCUCCUUUUUUUUUAACUUGCUUUUUUCUUUCUUGAGCUGUUUCUUCACUUCCUCAAACCGAGCCCCUUUCCUAACUAAGAUAGGGUUCAAUGUAGGGGUGUAAAACGGGCCGGAUGGCACGUGGGCCGUGCGGCCCAGCACGGACUCGGGCUGGGCUACAGCACGACACUGAUACUGUAGCACCAGUGCCGGACGAGCCUCGGGGCCGCUUUUCUGUGGCUCGACGGCUGGGCCCGGCACGGCACGGCCCAAAACAGACCCCUACCUCCUCCCCGACCCCCUCAUCCGAGAACCCCUCCUCACUGGAAAGUGGAAACCCCACCCCCCCGGAAAACCCCAGCGCCUCCCGCCUUCAUUAAUUUUUUUUUUAAAAAAAAUAAUACAAAUUUAUUUUUUAAAAAAAAAAAUUAAAUAUUUACCAUAUUAUAAUUAUUUUAUAAAUUUGUAAAUGAUUUAAUCAAAUUUAAACUAAUUUUUUAAAAAAAAUUAAAAAUAAAUAUUUUAGGAGGCGGUCCGAAACACGGCCCAACCCGGCACGGCCAGUACCUCCCGGGCCGAAGAGCCGUGCCGGGCCAGAGGCUAGGCUGCUCUGGCCGGCCCGACACGGUCCGAAAUUGAAACCAGCCCGGGCCGGGCUGACCGCUAGUUCGUUUCAAGCUGAAAAAUGUGGGUUGUGCCGGCCUGGCCCACAUUACACCCCUAAUUCAAUGCAUUGUCGUUCCGUCAACCCUCCCCGCCACUUCCUCUAUCGUCAUUUCCUCUACUGGAUUCACACACUUUCACACCCUUAAAAAUAAAAAAAAAAAAUGAAUUAUUCCUACCCAGCUUAAGGUAUUAUUUGUGUUUAGACUUUUCUUUUCACCUAUUUUAGUUUCAACUUAUUUCUUCCAUCCUAGAACCUUAAAAUAAAAGGAUUUCAAAUUCCCCAGCUUUAGAAGGACAUUGCUUCUUCUACUGCAUCUUCAGCUUUUUUUUUUAUUUUUUCUGUUCUUCUUUUGCUAGCAAUCUCCUGCUCCUUCUUACGUAUUAUGCUGUUUCUUCUUCUUCUUCUUCUUAUGUACUCUACACCUUUUUCAUUCAAAUUGAAUUUAAAAUUCGAAGAAACUCACUUAUUUCCAUCUCUUUCUUCUAUUAAUUUAUUUACAUAAGUUUUUUUUUUUUUUUAUGAUACUCACAUUUUAUUGUUGUUGUUGCUGCUGCUGUUUCUUCCGCCGCAUCCGUAUAAAAAGCAGUGAUGAUGAGAACCUGCUGAAAUAAAGAUGAACAAUGAUGAUUGAAAAUUAGAUAAUAGAGCAAGUUUAAUGACUUAAGGGCAACUCUUGCACCUAUUUAUGUUUUAAAAAAAAAUGCUACCAAUUACUGCGGAAUAAGAAGUUUGUUUUGCUUUAUGAAAAAACAAUGAGGAAAACCUAACUAUCUUAGCUCAACUAUUUUUCUUAAAGCUUAAUUUUAAAAUUCGAAUAAAAUACGUUACUUUCAUCUACAUCUUCUAUGUCUUGUUAAAAAUACCUUUGUUAUGUGAAAAUACAAUAACUUAUAGUUUUCUAUUAUUUUUUACUUUGAUUUCGAGCAUAAACCUAGCUCUUCAUUUCUCUGCUGAAGUUGUAACGCCAAAACCUACAUAAGUUUUGGAUGGUCUGCUACUUCGUAGCCAACUAUUUUGCAGUUGUUCAACAAUUUUCUAGCCUUCAGUUGUAAUCGCAACGAAUCCUUGUCAUGUAUAAAUUUGUUUUUCAUAUUUUACCCAUAUUAUGUUGCUCAAAUAACGUUCGACUUGAGUUGGAAUAUUUGAAUUUUUAUAAAUCGCAAGCAACAUUAGUAUAUCUACAUAUGUUUAUUGAUUAAUGAUGUUUUCUUUGUUGAUUUUGAGUUUAGCCAUAUUUUAUUGAUCAAAUAAUAUUUUCAUUUUUGCUUUCAAAUUGUUUUAGUUUUAGAAAUUUAAUGUAUAAUAAGCUAUGAUGACAAACACAAUCUAAAGAAAUAGAAUCAGACAGAAAGAAGUGAUGAUUAAUUAUCAUCCAAAGGCAAUUUAGCCGGCAACAUGGCUACUGUAAUAUGGGGUUAUCUUAAUGCAUAUAUAUAUAUAUAUAUAGAGAGAGAGAGAGAGAGAGAGAGAGAGUGCUUGGCUACUAUACUUUGAUGAGUAUAGAGUCUAUUGUACUCAUAAAUUUUUGGCUGUUUUCACCCAUUCGAUUAUACUAUUCAACCAACCACCCACUCAAUUCUAGGGGGCCCACUAUCAAUUUAACAGUAAUCACUUUCAUUCUACCCGCACAUUUUUUUAUCUGAACGGUCGAAAACUUAUGAGUACAAAAAACUCUAUACUCAUAUGAGUAUAAUAGCCCCAGCCUAUAUAUAUAUAUAUAUAUAUAUAUAUAUAUAUAUAUAUAGUCCAGCUAUGGUGCUUGUAAAAGCACCAAGCACUUGGUGCUUAUAAGUUUUUUACCGUUAGAUAUACGCCUCGAAUCAUUUUCAACCAUUAGAUUAUACUAUUCAACCAACCACCCACAUCAUCUUAAUCGCAUAUCUUUUAAUCCAAUGGCUAAAAAUCUAUAAGCACCAAUAACUUGUACUUUUAAAAGCAUAGGAGCUCAAUUCUAUAUAUAUAUAUAUAUAUAUACUGGUUACAUACACAUUGCUUGUACACCAAAAGUAUUCUUUAUAGACGAAGCUUGAGCAGUUUCAAGAACUCUUUCCAGUUUCCAAUCGAAUUUGUCCAUGCUUUGCACACACCAAGGUGCUAAGAUCCUCUUUUGCUAUAUUUAAUCUCAAGGAAUUGGAUAGAUAACGACCUUUCCCGUAGCUCUUCCGGUUUCGAGAUAAGAGAAUGCCUCAACCACCUGAGAGAAAGGGAAUGGCCCCUUCGGGUCCAGAAGAGGCUUCACCUUCCCGCUUUCGAGAUAAGGGUUGAGCUUCGUCAGGCUCUCCCCGUUGGACGUGACGACGAAUCUGAAGCCCGGGGGCGUGACAGGGCCCGUGAGCACCACGACGCUGCCCCCUUCUUUCACUGCUUUCACCGCUCUUUCGCACUGACCUGUUAUAAAAGUAUAACACCCAUAGGGAAUAUCAAAUGAGAAAUUUGAGAAUGUACGUGCAUCCUAGUUAGCAAAGAUCUUAAAUUUUGAAAAGAUAUAGCAAAGGAAAAUGAUUAAGCAAUACCAGGGGGGACAUGAAGGCUGAAGAGUAUGUGAUUCAACAAUUUAAAUGGUGUGGGUGGCAUAAAAGAUGAACUAAGCCUAAGUAACGCGGAAAUUACAACAGUUGGUAGGAAAAGGAAAAAAAAAAAAAAAAAAAAAAAAAUCAGAACAACUCCAUGAGGUUUCAAAAUGCAGAGAGAUUUUGUGUUGAAGAAUCACUAAAGUUUUGGAGGAUGAGUUAGCAGAGAUGGACUAGUCAAGUUACCGAUUAACGAUAUGUCUUUAAACAGUGGCAUUCAGGAGAAUCGAAGAAUCAUUUUAACAAUUUCACAAGCUAAUCAAGUAGGUAGAUUAUCUUACCAACAGCAUCAUACACUACAUCAAACUUCUCAGGUAGUUCUUCAAUGUUUUCCUUGGUGUAGUCGAUCGCUAAGUCGGCACCCAGGCUCUUCAACAGCUCCAGCUUUCCUGUGCUAGAAGUGGCCGCAACUUUCGACGCACCGUAGACAUGCUUUGCUAGCUUCAAAAGAAUACGAAACAUUUCAAUUCACAUCGAUAACGGUGUGAAGCAAGCAUUUCGAGAUCAUCAAACCACUAGAAACACGAACUAAUGAAAAAGAAGAGCUUUUAACCUGAAUCACGAGCGAGCCGACUCCGCCAGCACCACCCAAAACAAGAACUGAUUUACCCGCGGAAAAUCCAGCUUUUUCAAGGCCUUCAUAUGCCGUCUCGAUGGCCAAAGGAAGACUAGCAGCCUGCGCAAAGUCCAGAUUCUUAGGUUUUACAGCCAGCAGCUUCUCCUCGACUGCAGUGUACUCCGCAAGCGAUCCGAAUUGCUUCGGAUUCUCCAACGCCUUCUCGUUUAUGUCCCCGUAUACUUCGUCCCCUUCUUUUAGAUUCUUGACUUGGCUACCAACCUUCACCACGACGCCGGCCACAUCGUAACCCGGUACCGUCUACCAAUCAAAAUAACAUACAAUAAAUUGCACAGGCUUCGUGAAUGUAUCUGAAUAUUUAUUAGUGAUUAAUAAGGGUAAAUGCGAAAAAAUCAUCAACAUGCGUUAUUACUUGUAUUGUAAUUUUAGUCCGGGAACUUUUACCUUAAACACUGCAGUAUCCGUGAAUGUUUCCAUCUAUUGUAAUUUUAUUCAUACUCUCUCAACUACAUAAAAAUAUUAACCUUUUACCACAAAAACAACAAGUUUAACACCAUUAGGUAAAAUGAAAAGAUCAUUUUACAAGGAAACAUCAUUUUUUUAUUUUAAUUUGCUUUUGCAUGGACAGGAAUGGAAUUACAUUACAUAUGAGAGAAGUUAUCGGACUAAGUUGUGAUAUCGGAAUAGUACAGGGACCUACAAUUCAUUUUUACCCUAAACCGUUCUCUUCUCCGUAAUUACACAAACAUGUACAAAAAAUGAAUGAGAUAAUGUAUUCUUUGUAAAAAUUUCAAAUUACCUAAAGCAUUAAACAUAGAAAAAUAAGAAAA